UGCUUACCAUGCAGUCGACGGAACGAUGGAGAAGUUUACUUUUUCAGGCGUCGAGUGGCGGACGGGUGAGUAAUGCAUAGGAAUCUGCCCUAUAGUUUGGGAUAACUACUCGAAAGAGUGGCUAAUACCGGAUGUGGACUACGGUUUAAAGCAGGGGACCUUCGGGCCUUGCGCUAUAGGAUGAGCCUAUGUGGGAUUAGCUAGUUGGUGAGGUAAAGGCUCACCAAGGCGACGAUCUCUAGCUGGUCUGAGAGGAUGAUCAGCCACACUGGAACUGAGACACGGUCCAGACUCCUACGGGAGGCAGCAGUGGGGAAUAUUGGACAAUGGGCGGAAGCCUGAUCCAGCAAUACCGCGUGUGUGAAGAAGGCCUUCGGGUUGUAAAGCACUUUUGUCAGGGAGAACGGCAGUUGAGGUUAAUACCCUUAGCUGUUGAUGUUACCUGAAGAAUAAGCACCGGCUAACUCCGUGCCAGCAGCCGCGGUAAUACGGGGGGUGCAAGCGUUAAUCGGAAUUACUGGGCGUAAGGGCGCGUAGGCGGUUACUUAAGUUAGAUGUGAAAGCCCCGGGCUUAACCUGGGAAUUGCAUUAAU
rnacentral:rRNA from 1 species